rnacentral:rRNA from 1 species
UUGACGGGACCCGCACAAGCGGUGGAUGAUGUGGAUUAAUUCGAUGCAACGCGAAAACCUUACCUACCCUUGACAUGUCUGGAACCUUGGUGAGAGCCGAGGGUGCCUUCGGGAGCCAGAACACAGGUGCUGCAUGGCUGUCGUCAGCUCGUGUCGUGAGAUGUUGGGUUAAGUCCCGCAACGAGCGCAACCCUUGCCAUUAGUUGCUACGAAAGGGCACUCUAAUGGGACUGCCGGUGACAAACCGGAGGAAGGUGGGGAUGACGUCAAGUCCUCAUGGCCCUUAUAGGUGGGGCUACACACGUCAUACAAUGGCCGGUACAGAGGGUAGCCAACCCGCGAGGGGGAGCCAAUCCCACAAAGCCGGUCGUAGUCCGGAUCGCAGUCUGCAACUCGACUGCGUGAAGUCGGAAUCGCUAGUAAUCGCGGAUCAGCAUGUCGCGGUGAAUACGUUCCCGGGUCUU